GAAGCCCAUCCAGCAAGAGAAUGUUUUUGAGUGACCUGAUGCAUCGCUUCUGCUUAGCUGGAAUGUGGUUAAUGAAGAAUGGAAGGAACUAGACCUUCAGAAAACUGCUCUUCUUGAAAGGAUGAAAAAAGUGUUGCACAGGACAUCUUUCUGCCGGUCAAAAAUGUUGGGAGUGAAGUGCUGGUUUGUUCUUCCAAGAGACUGGAG